UGGGGAAUUUUGGACAAUGGGCGAAAGCCUGAUCCAGCAAUGCCGCGUGUGUGAAGAAGGCCUUCGGGUUGUAAAGCACUUUUGUCCGGAAAGAAAUCCUUGGCUCUAAUACAGUCGGGGGAUGACGGUACCGGAAGAAUAAGCACCGGCUAACUACGUGCCAGCAGCCGCGGUAAUACGUAGGGUGCAAGCGUUAAUCGGAAUUACUGGGCGUAAAGCGUGCGCAGGCGGUUUGCUAAGACCGAUGUGAAAUCCCCGGGCUCAACCUGGGAACUGCAUUGGUGACUGGCAGGCUAGAGUAUGGCAGAGGGGGGUAGAAUUCCACGUGUAGCAGUGAAAUGCGUAGAGAUGUGGAGGAAUACCGAUGGCGAAGGCAGCCCCCUGGGCCAAUACUGACGCUCAUGCACGAAAGCGUGGGGAGCAAACAGGAUUAGAUACCCUGGUAGUCCACGCCCUAAAACGAUGUCAACUAGUUGUUGGGGGAUUCAUUUCCUUAGUAACGUAGCUAACGCGUGAAGUUGACCGCCUGGGGAGUACGGUCGCAAGAUUAAAACUCAAAGGAAUUGACGGGGUCAUA
rnacentral:rRNA from 1 species